GGGAGGUAGUGACAAUAAAUAACAAUACAGGGUCCUUUCGGGUCUUGUAAUUGGAAUGAGUACAAUUUAAAUCUCUUAACGAGGAGCAAUUGGAGGGCAAGUCUGGUGCCAGCAGCCGCGGUAAUUCCAGCUCCAAUAGCGUAUAUUAAAGUUGUUGCAGUUAAAAAGCUCGUAGUUGAAUUUCGGGAUCAAUUUGCUGGUCAUGCCUCUGGUACGUACUGGUAUUAUUGGUUUCUCCCUUCUGACGAACCAUGAUGUCAUUAAUUUGGUGUCGUGGGGAAUCAGGACUGUUACUUUGAAAAAUUAGAGUGUUUAAAGCAAGCAUUAGCUUGAAUACAUUAGCAUGGAAUAAUGAAAUAGGACGUUUGAUCCUAUUUCGUUGGUUUCUAGGAUCGACGUAAUGAUUAAUAGGGAUAGUUGGG
rnacentral:rRNA from 1 species